GACGAACGCUGGCGGCGUGCUUAACACAUGCAAGUCGAACGGACAGGCCCUGCUUUUGUUGGUUGCUCGAGUGGCGAACGGGUGAGUAACACGUGAGUAACCUGCCCUUGACUUUGGGAUAACUUCACGAAACUGGGGCUAAUACCGGAUAUGAGCUCCUGCUGCAUGGUGGGGGUUGGAAAGUUUCGGCGGUUGGGGAUGUACUCGCGGCUUAUCAGCUUGUUGGUGGGGUAGUGGCUUACCAAGGCUUUGACGGGUAGCCGGCCUGAGAGGGUGACCGGCGACAAUGGGACUGAGAUACGGAGCAGACUCCUACGGGAGGCAGCAGGGGGGAGUAUGGCACAAUGGGGGGAAGCCUGAUGCAGCAAUGCCGGGUGCGGGAUGACGGCCUUCGGGUGGUAAACCGAUUUCGACGGUGACGAAGCGGGAGUGACGGUAAUGGGUAAAGAAGCAACGGCUAACUACGUG
rnacentral:rRNA from 1 species